AUGGGUCAAGAUAGUAUUACAUGGUCGUCAUUUCGAUAGUGAGCAUUGGCACACGAGAAGAUUGUAGUCAUCUAUUCUUGAUCACGAGGCGAUAUACAUUUACUUCAGUGAACUUUGAGGGUUGACGACACGCAGGUCACGUUGUCAACGAGCAUUGACGACACGCAGGUCACGUUGUCAACGAGCAUUGACGACACGCAGGUCACGUAGUCAACGAGCAUUGACGACACGCAGGUCACGUAGUCAACGAGCAUUGACGACACGCAGGUCACGUAGUCAACGAGCAUUGACGACACGCAGGUCACGUAGUCAACGAGCAUUGACGACACGCAGGUCACGUAGUCAACGAGCAUUGACGACACGCAGGUCACGUAGUCAACGAGCAUUGACGACACGCAGGUCACGUUGUCAACGAGCAUUGACGACACGCAGGUCAUGAGUCUACUAUUAUAACCUAAAGGAAAAUGAAGUCGGCUAGCAUUAAUCGCGAAGGGGCCGCGUCAACGCAUUGCGAAGCUUCGGCAGUGGGCUCUGGCGAUACGCGA
rnacentral:lncRNA from 1 species